AUAUUUUUUACACAAUAAUUUUUUUUCAUUAAUACCAAUUUAUGUUUUAUAGAGUUGUACAAUAUACUAUUGUAAUGCAUAAAUUGUUCUUUAUUGAAAAAAAAUUGUUGUGUACAAUAAAAGAAUGAAUAUUGGUGUAACAACCCGAAGCUUUCCUCCAAUGUAAUUGGUUCGCGUAAAUGCUUUUAAAUAUUGAAUUCUUCAUCCUUUUGUCAAACUUGAGGUUCUAUUUGUGUGCUCUAGACCUAAUUCAAUCGAAAUAUGAGCCUUAGAAGGGGUUAGAGAGUGCAAUUCAUCAUGAAAUCGAAUCAAACACACCAAAAGAGGUGUGUGCGGCCACACUUUAGUGUGUACGGCCACACACCCAUGUGUGCGGCCGCACACCCAACCUCACACUCUCCAACCUCACACUCAAACAUAUAUAUGGGUGGAUACCUUCUUCAUUCAUCCAUUUGAAUGAUCCUUACUCUCUCUUUACCUUCUCUCUCUAAAAUCUUCAUCCAAGAACACUUUGAAGGCUUCAUGUUGUGACCUAGAUCAUCUUCAAGCUUGUUAGUGGUAAACACUUGAAUCCUUGACCUUAAAACUCAUCAUAUUCAUCAUGUUCAUGGUCCCUUGAAGGUGUACGACCGCACACCUUCAUGAGAUGGGCCGCACACAUUCAAAUGUUCAUCAUAUGAAGAGCAAACCUUCAUAAGGACUCACAAGAAGGGUGUACGGCCGCACACUCCCAUGUACGGCCGCACACUCCUAUGUACGGCCACACACACUUGUGUGGAGCCGCACACACCCUCUUGGCCGCACACUCACUUCCUAGACCAUACACUCACUCAAAUGCCCUCAUUUGACCCUAGAAUUGCAUGAAUCAUUAAGUAUGGUUCAUGAAACACUUGUACUUAGAAAUUCAAAUCCCUAAGGAUGUUUUCCAUCAUGUUUAAGCAUGAAACACUUUAGUUCUAACUCAAUUAUGUGUAAUCACAUGAUUAAUAGGGACCAUUGGCAUUCAGGGCAUCCGUUGACACUCGAACCCUUCGAUAAGCGGUGAGUUCAUACCCCUACUCUUUUUUACUGUUUUUCACUGUUUUUAAGGGCGGGGGGGGGGGGGGGCANGGGGGGGGGGGGGGACACAAGCAAAGUACAAGGGUUUCUUGUACUCAAAACUUAUUUUCGUGUGUGUGUUUCACAAUUCAUAUGCUUUUAAUACUGAUAUACAUAACUAAUAACCAUCAGAACAUGCAUACCACGUAAACAUUCAACUGUGAAAUGGGUUUUAUAAACGUUUAGGCUAUAAUUAUUUCACAAAUGAUUUUCCAUAUUUUAUCAGUUAAAAGCAUGACAUUAGAACAUUUGAACAUAUAAAUUGUACAUUGUUUGUCCUCGGUAACACUCCACAGAGAUACGCGAGUGGAGGAUCUUCCUAUUAUUACUAGUAAAUUUGUUAUUCCUGUAUGAUUGGAGACACGUCCUCGGCAAACACUCCACAGAGAUACGCGAGUGGAGGACUACACCCAUAACCAGAAUCUCUGGUAUUUAGAGAGCGUGACUCGAUUGUAUAGAUUUAUACGGGGUUGACUACCCCACACCUGGCAGCUAGCUACAGCCGAACCAAAAAGGUUCAAGGGUGACGAAAGUCGUAAGGAUGUGGACCACUUAUUGCCACGAGUUUAGUCUAUAGUAUGGUUAUGGAACUCGCAACUAGGAUGACAGAGAUUACUUAUAGUAAUAAUAAACCACUUUUCACACUUUAUAGAUAACCAGGUUUUGGUUUACAUCUUUUACAUCUUUUACAUCUUUCACCUAAGGUAACUAACAUUCAGGAAAGUAUGGGACUUUCCUGAGGAAAACAUUGAACAGAACACGAUCACAUCUUUUACAAUGAUAACCAACAUUCAGGAAAGCAUGGGGCUUUCCUGGGGAACUUAUACAUAAAUAGGAAUGUGUAACAAAACAAAUAACAUUACAUCUUUACAAUUGAUAACAUACAAUCAGGAAAGUAUGGGACCUUCCUGGGGAUACAUUAGAACUCAAACAGAUUGGUAUAACAAACCGGGUAAACCAACUAUACAUUUUCCACAUGAGUAAAUGUGUUUUCAGUGUACGAACUUACUAUACUUUACAUUUUAUGAAACAACAACCAACUUUUAAGAAAAUGUGGAAUUUUCUUGGCGUGUGUUAUGUUUCGGAAACAGAAAGGAAACAUGAACAUUUUCACAAACAAAAACUACUUAUGAACUCACCAGCGUUAUGCUGAUUUUCAAACCGCUUGUGUUCUUAGGUCAUCGUUAGUACAGGUACCCGAAGAUUCACUCGAUCCAGGAUGGAGUGCGUACAAGACCUGUUCAUUUUUGUUUAUACCUAUACUAUAUAUCACAACUAUAUAAACUGUAUCUUUUGAACAAGUUGUAAAACUUUUAAUAUGUAAUGUAAUGUUUGUUUCACUUUACUUACUAUGUACAUUGGAAUUGAUACACAACGUGGAGUCAACCCCAGGAACGUUUCCGCCUGCGGUUUUCGGGGUGUGACAGAUUGGUAUCAGAGCCCUUGUUUAUAGUGAAUAAAGUAUACCAAACCUUACAUGCUAUAAAACUAUAAACAUAAAAGGGCCUAAGUGCUCUGAAUUAAAAGUAUCAUCAAACUAUAAGUAUUUUCAAAAGUAUACAAGUAUACCGAGCCGUCGAGAUCCGUAACUACAAGUAGAUCAAAACAUAAGUAAAUGGGUGUUGUGUAUUGCGGUUAAACCUGGGCAGUUAUGUAGUCGUGUCUAGGAUCAAUAUAGCCUGGCCAACUAUAUUCAUUCAAGACACGGCCAACAUGUGCUUGGGAGUGACUGUGGUUCGAGAAAAUCGAAUCCAUCUUCAAAAUCUGUGCUUGUUCGGAAUCUGAUAAAGUAAAGUUCGCAGCCUGUACCUUCAUUGAUAAAGCUCUGACUUGGUGGAAUGGCCGAGUCAAAUCCUUGACCCUACCAGUAGCCAAUGCCAUGGGUUGGGAAGCCAUGAAAGAACUCCUGUUAGCUGAGUACUGCCCUAGGGGCGAAAUGCAGAAGUUAGAGCACGAGCUCUGGAACCUGAAGAUGAAGGGUUCCGAUAUUGCCGCAUACACUUCAAGAUUUGAUGACCUGGCACUACUCUGUCCGGGAUUGGUUACCCCGGAGAGUAAGAAGAUAGAAAAGUUCAUCUGGGGGCUGACCCAACCAACUAAGGGAAACGUCUUAGCUGCACGUCCGGAUACCUAUGAUAGUGCCAAGAGUUUAGCCCAAACCCUAAUUGAUCACAGUGAUGACAUCGAAGAAGCCACCACCGCUCCUGAACUGACCAAGAAUAGUGGUGAGAAAAGGAGGUUUUGGAAGAAGAAGAAGGGCCAAUCUUCUCAAGGAUCCUCAAAGAAACAGCAGACUGUAGCAGUCCAUGCUGCUAUUGUCCCCGUUGCUGCUGCUUCUGUUGUGGGAUCUACCACUCAAAUAUCUAUUAGCAAAUAUGCUGGUAACCUUCCAUUGUGUGACAAAUGCAAAUACCACCACAAACCAGGCCCCUGUUGUGAACUGUAUGUACCAAUUAUGGUAAGAAGGGGCACAUAGUCCGAUUCUGCAAAGCUCCAGUCCAGUCGGCCAAUCAAUCUUCUGGAGUAGGUAUUGGUCAAGCUUGCUAUAAUUGUGGAGAGGCUGGGCAUUUCAAGAGGAACUGUCCCAAAAAGACUACAGUCGAUAACACUGGAAGAGUCCUAGUCAUGGGACAGGAGGAGGCAGUUGCCGAUCCCACCGUUGUUUCGGGUACGUUCCUUCUCGACAACUCAUAUGCUAGUAUUCUUUUCGAUUUGGGUGCUGAAAGAAGCUUUGUUAGUCAUUCAUUCAAACAUAACCUAAAACAUAAUCCCCAACCUUUAACUGAAACGUUUACCGUCGAUAUGGCUAACGGUGAGAAAGAAAGUGCUAACGACAUAUUCAUAGGUUGUACCCUUACCCUGAACGAUCAUUCAUUUCCCAUCGACCUUAUGCUAGUCUCCAUUAAGAGCUUUGAUGUUAUCAUUGGCAUGGAUUGGUUGAGUCCCAAUCAUGCUGAUAAUCUUUGCUACGAAAAAGCCAUCCGUCUCAACCUUCUUUCGGGUCAGACUAUCGUAAUCUAUGGUGAUAAACUCAGUUCCAAUCUUCGUAUCAUUUCCUGCAUCAAAGCUCAAAAGCUCAUGCGAAAGGAGUGCAUUGCAUUCUUAGCCCAUGUAAUCAACGAGAAACAGGAAAUUAAAGACCUCGCGAGCAUCCCCGAAGUCUGUAACUUUCCUGAUGUAUUUCCCGAAGAGCUUCCAGGAAUUCCUCCCGAACGUCAUGUCGAGUACCGUAUUGACCUAAUUCCUGGAGCUACUCCCGUAGCGAAAUCUCCAUAUCGCUUAGCUCCAACAGAAAUGCAGGAGUUAUCCAGUCAACUCAAUGAAUUUCUUAGUAAGGGAUUCAUUAGACCGAGUUCCUCACCCUGGGGAGCUCCGGUAUUGUUUGUCAAGAAGAAAGAUGGAUCCUUUCGGAUGUGUAUCGAUUAUCGCGAGCUGAACAAGUUGACCGUCAAAAACCGAUAUCCCCUUGCGCGAAUAGAUGACCUUUUCGAUCAACUCCAGGGAACCAGUUACUUCUCCAAGAUAGACCUUCGGUCAGGGUAUCAUCACCUAUGAGUUCAUGAAAGUGAUGUGUCCAAAACAGCUUUCAGGACUCGAUAUGGACACUACGAGUUCGUAGUGAUGCCCUUUGGUCUAACCAACGCACCGGCAGUGUUCAUGGACCUGAUGAACCGGGUGUGUCGUCCUUAUCUAGAUAAAUUUGUCAUUGUAUUCAUUGAUGAUAUACUUUUCUACUCUAGAAGUGAAGAAGAUCACAAACAGCACUUGAGACUAGUGUUGGAAACCCUUAGGUCCGAGAAAUUGUACGCGAAAUUUUCCAAGUGUGAGUUCUGGAUUCGGAAGGUAACUUUCCUAGGUCACGUGGUGAGCGAGGAGGGUAUUCAUGUAGAUCCUUCCAAGAUUAAAGCGAUAGAGAAUUGGUCAGCACCGAAGACACCCACAGAAAUCCGGCAAUUCUUGGGUCUCGCCGGCUAUUAUCGGAGAUUUAUCCAGAACUUUUCCAGAAUCGCCAAACCCUUAACCACUCUAACACAGAAAGGUGUACCCUUCUGUUGGAAUGAUAAUCAAGAAACCGCAUUCCAAACGUUGAGGAAAGCUUUGUGCAGCGUUCCUGUUCUAUCCUUACCCGACGGGACGGAGGACUUCGUUGUUUUCUGCGAUGCAUCAAAUCAAGGCUUAGGCUGUGUGCUUAUGCAAAGAGGAAAAGUAAUUGCUUACGCCUCUAGAUAGCUGAAAGCACACGAAGUCAACUAUACCACUCAUGACUUGGAACUAGGUGCCGUAGUCUUUGCGUUGAAGAUUUGGAGACAUUACCUCUAUGGAACCAAGUGCACGAUCUUCACUGAUCACAAGAGCCUGCAACACAUCUUUGACCAGAAAGACCUGAACAUGAGACAACGGCGAUGGGUAGAACUACUCAGUGAUUAUGAGUGUGAAAUCCGUUACCAUCCCGGCAAGGCCAAUGUGGUAGCAGAUGCCCUUAGCUGAAAGGAGAGUGCAGGGCGCAAAGUGAAGAACCAGACGAUGACCAUCCAUUCCAAACUACCCAUGCAAAUUCGAGAAGUCCAGUUAGAAGCCCUCAAACUUGAGAACAUAUCAAUUGAAGCUUUAAGAGGUAUGGAAAAGAAACUUGAGAUCAGAAGUGACGGAGUCCACUAUUUUAUGGAUCGGAUCUGGAUUCCCAAGUCCGGAGGAUUCAGAGAGAUAGUCAUGGAGGAAGCACACAGGACCAGAUACUCUGUUCACCCGGGUUCUGACAAGAUGUACUUAGAUCUCAAGAAACAAUACUGGUGGCCAAACAUGAAGGCUGAGAUAGCUACAUUCGUGGGAAAGUGUCUGACUUGUGCCAAGGUUAAAGUUAAGCACCAGAAACCUUCGGGUCUGCUCUAGUAGCCCGACAUACCCGAAUGGAAAUGGGAGAUGAUUACCAUGGAUUUCAUCACCAAAUUACCCAAGUGUCCGAGUGGGUACGAUACCAUUUGGGUAAUUAUCAAUCGUCUGACAAAGUCUGCUCACUUCAUUCCGAUAAAAGAAUCAUACAAGAUGGAAAGACUCGCACAGAUCUACAUCCAAGAGGUAGUACGACUGCACGGUGUACCUGCGUCCAUUAUCUCUGAUCGAGAUAGUAGGUUUACCUCCCGAUUUUGGCAUCCCCUCCAGAAGGCUCUUGGAACCAAACUAGAUAUGAGCACGGCGUAUCAUCCUCAGACCGAUGAACAAAGUGAGAGAACAAUCCAAACCCUGGAAGACAUGCUUAGGGCAUGUUUCAUUGACUUUGGAAAGUCGUGGGACGCACAUCUACCUUUGAUCGAAUUCUCGUACAACAACAGUUACCACACCAACAUUAGGGUUGCUCCGUUCGAGGCCCUCUACGGUCGGAAGUGCAGAUCCCCUUUGUGCUGGGCCGAGGUAGGAGACAUGCAGCUAGCCAGGAGUCGGAUUCUCGACAGUGCUCUCACUGGUCCUGAAAUCAUCCGUGAAACCACCGAGAAGAUCAUCCAAAUCCGAGAACGACUGCAAGCAUCACGUGAUCGCCAAAAGAGUUACGCUGAUAACCGUCGGAAACCACUGGAAUUCCAGGUUGGAGACCGUGUCCUGUUGAAGGUCUCGCCCUGGAAAGGCACUGCAUGCUUUGGUAAGCGUGGUAAACUUAACCCGAGGUACAUUGGACCUUUCGAGAUCCUCACUAGGGUCGGUCCGGUAGCUUAUAAGCUUCGUUUACCCAACGAGCUCAGUAACAUCCAUCCCGUCUUCCAUGUUUCGAACCUCAAGAAGUGCCUAUCCAAUGAAACACUUGUGAUUCCUCUUGAUGAAAUUGAGAUCAACGAGAACCUGAAUUUCGUAGAAUAACCAAUCGAAAUCAUGGACCGAGAGAUCAAGCGUACAAAGCAAAGUCGCAUCCCGAUAGUGAAGAUUCGCUGGAACGCCAAGCGAGGACCGGAGUUCACUUGGGAGCGCGAAGAUUCAAUAAAGCAAAAGUACCCACAUCUCUUUCCAAGUCCAUGAUUUGUAUCUAAUUCUGAAUUUCGGGACGAAAUUCCCUCUAACGGGGGGAUAAUGUAACAACCCGAAGCUUUCCUCCAAUGUAAUUGGUUCGCGUAUUGGCUUUUAAAUAUUGAAUUCUUCAUCCUUUUGUCAAACUUGAGGUUCUAUUUGUGUGCUCUAGACCUAAUUCAAUCGAAAUAUGAGCCUUAGAAGGGGUUAGAGAGUGCAAUUCAUCAUGAAACCGAAUCAAACACACCAAAAGAGGUGUGUGCGGCCACACUUUAGUGUGUACGGCCACACACCCAUGUGUGCGGCCGCACACCCAACCUCACACUCUCCAACCUCACACUCAAACAUAU
rnacentral:lncRNA from 1 species